GUCCACGCACACAUUGUACCAGAAGGACAGCAGCGCCUGUUUGUUGUGGUUUGUGGCGAUGGCUGGCUCCGAGAGUUUGGGCUGAGAACACCAACAGGCAACACCCUCUACUGUCAAAGUUCAUGUGCUUGAUUAGUGCAAGA